AUAAAAUAAAGGUAUUGUGUCCAUCCGCAAUUAAAAAAUAAAAGUUUAAGAAAAUUAUAUAGAAUUUCUUUCCAGAGCAGUUGGAACAGAAACAUAUGAAAAACUUUCUUCUUCAUGCUUUCUUUAAUUUCUGCUCUAUAACAAUUUAAACCUAACCAUAGGUAGAUUACAUUAUAAUCAAAGUGCUUCAACAAAGAGCACAGACACUUACCCAGAAAAGGAUAUGGGUAGGAAUAUUUUAGGAUACGAUUAUGUUGUCCUAUAAAUGGAGGCAAAUUCUUAAAAAGAUUUUUUUUGUUUGAACUUCCAUAUAUCUGUGAUUAAGUUUUUUAUUGAUUCAAUUUAGUUAUGCAUGACAGUAGAAUUCAGUUUGACAUAAUUAUAAAAGCAUAGGAUAUAAUUUGUUCUAAUUCACUUCCCAGUACUUCCCCUUCAUCUCCCCUCCUCCCUCUCCCUUUUCCUGCCCCUCUGUUCUAUUAAUCUUUUUGCUCUCUACUUAUAGUUUCUUUUUAAUUAGUGUUUUAUAGGUGUGCAUGAUGGUGAGAUUCACUGUGGUAUAUUUAUUAGGUACAUAGGAAAAUUAGGUCAGAUUCAUUUCAUUGUCUUUCCCUUCCCUGCAUUUCCUUUUGCCUACUCCACGGAUCUUUCUUCUUUUUUUUUAAUAUUCAUUUUUUAGUUGUAGUUGGACACAAUACCUUUAUUUUUAUGUGGUGCUGAGGAUCAAACCCAGGGCCUCACACGUGUUAGACAAGUGUUCUACCACUGAGCCACAACCCCAGCCCUUUUCUUCUAUUCUUAAAAAGAAGAAUGACUUUAUGAUAUUUGCCAGUAAAUGAAUGGAACUGGAGACUAUCAUGCUAAGUGAAAUAAGCUAAUCCUCAAAAGUCAAAGAUCAAAUGUUUUCUCUGAAAUGCAGAAGCUAAUCCCAAAUAAAGAAUGGGGAAUAAAAAAAGAUUGAGAGAGAAUAGAAUAAAGAUCUAUGAUUAAGUUUUGAGGCACUGCUACUUUAGGAACAAAAAGCUUUCAAGCUUAAAUCAUUCUUAGUGUAAUGUUCUCCUAAAGACAAAUGGGAAUGUUUCUAGCUGAGAAGUUGAAAGGUGAGAAAAGGCUAAGCUAAAACUAUCCUCACAGUACAGUGUUUCACUUAAUGAUAAAUGGUACUGCUUCAACCUGAGAAGAUGAAAGAUUUUGCAUUUACUUUGAAGCACAGCAAAAGCCAAGUGCUCACUACUACUGAUUUCAGGUGUGUCUAAAUAAGUGGAGUAAAUGGUAGAGUACAAGCCAUUAUUACACUGAGAAAAAUGUCAUUACUUGUCUCUUUCUUCUGGAAAACACAUUUUGUGCUGCCAAGGAAAAUCUUGUUGUCCAUAGAAGAAAAUUCAAAAAAAAUUAAAUGCUUAAUCAAAUCAUCUUUUUAUUCUUUUUCAGAAGAAUAUUUUAGAAAAAAAAAGAUCAAAGCUCACCAAAAUUAUCAGUUUAUUACUUUCCAAAACCUUUUGUAAUUGAGUACUUGUAAUGUGAAGCAUCCAUCAAAGAAUUUCAAUUUAUUUUGCUUAAACAUGUCACAUCCAUAAAAAGAGAAAUUAUUUGCAUAGUUUGUUGAUCAGAUUUUGUGUACACAAAACAUCUUAAAAAUAGAAGAUGACUUGCUUUUAAGUGAAGAAAAGGGCAAGCAAGAAAGGAGAUAUGAGUCAGUAUUUGAAUAUAUGCAAGUGUCAGGAUGUCUAUCUCCCAGAUUUUCAUUCAAACAUUUCUCACAAAAGGAUUAUUUUUCAAUUUUCAUAAAGGAAUGGUCCACAUUUAUAUAUCUCCACUGGCUUAUGACCAGUGUUAUUAGAGAGUGAACAGAACAUUCAGUCAGUAUUAUCCUAGAAAUUAUAAUUCUUAAAAGAGUACUAUUCCACCAUCUACAAUGACAACACAACUGAGAUUGUAGAUAAACUAAAACUUAAAUAUCUAGAAAUGACUAGAAUAAUUAGUGCCCAUAAAACAUAUAAUAGCUCUCAAUUUCUUCUUAGAUAAACUAUAAAGUUGUUCUUAUUUAGCUAUAGAUCUUGCUCUAAUUAAAAAGAAAAUGCUCCUAACUUUCUCUUUCUAUUGGUUUAUUGACCUGACUUCCUACCAUAAUCUGUUCCCACAAUUAGACUUGUAAAAUCAACCAUUUUUCUUUGCCUACUAAGACUUUUCAGACUAGAAAUAAGGGGGAAAAGGACAAGGAAACACAUUAGCUUGGUGACCAAUUCCUGUCCAUUUCCAAUAUGAAAUAUUCCAGGAGAAACUGCCUUGGACACUCUGCUGAUGCCAUGUUCUGCCCUGUGUUAAAAAUGGCCAUCUGAAUCAGAUCUUGGCUUGCUGUGCCUUUUGAAUACAGUGCCAUGGACUGCUCAUGGAGACUGGUGAGUUCUGCCCAAAUGAAUCCCUAACAUUCCCAGUCCAUUCCCAAACCUUUGCACAUUCAAAGUAUUUCUUGACUCCUUUAGAAUAAAUUUUUAGUUUCUUCAUCAUUGUCAUGUGGGUGGAUACAGGUUGAUUAAAAUUAGACUGUGUUGCAUGUAGUUUAUAAAUCCCUGGCUAAUUAUUUUGUUUUCCUUUUUCUUUCUUCUAUUUUUUGAUGAUAAACUUUGACCAGGGAGGGUUGUAGGAUAAUAAUGGAAAAUGCUAAUUUUUAUUAGUUCUUAAAAAUACUAUUUAUUGUAUAAAAACCAUAAGUUGCUGGGGGUGUAACUCAGUGGUAGAACAUCUGCUUAGCAUUUUUGAGGCCCUGAGUUCAAUCUGCAGGACCAAAAUAAAUAAAUAAAUCAUAAGAGAGAAGAAUAUGCAUUGAAGCAUAUUCUUUACUCUUCCUGAUAUUUAUUUUGUCACUAUGCAAUUUAUCUGGCUAUAGUGAUCAGAUUUCUGUUAAAAGAAAUACAUUUAUCUAUAUGUAAGUCUAAUUGUGUGUAUACAAGCAUGCAUAAGUUGUGGUGAGCCAUUCUUAUAGACCGUGGCCGCCAUUAGAAGAUGGCGCCGGCUUCCACUGUGGCCUGUGAUAAACAACUCCUUUUUUGGAGAGUUGGCACGCAAUCCCUUACCACCCUAUGAGAGAGAUCCACGUGGCAGCUUGGGAUUGGUAUGCGGGAGGCUUUAUUAGGCUGUGUUUGGGCACUCGGUGGGGGGGUCACUAGAAGAUGAUACAUGAAUCAAGGCCUGAAUAAACUGCUGAAAGAAGAAUCCUGUGUCGUGUUUUCCCUUGCCGGCGAGGGGUCGCGACAAUAAGUGUGUGUAGAUAGAUAGAUAUGAAUCUGUAUUUAUUUUCUCUUUCUCACUGUGAUGUGUAGCCUAUCGGUUUAAUUCCCUUGGCAGUUGAAAGGGCUGCCUGAAGCUAUUCUUCAAUCCCAGCUGUAUUUUGGAAUUUUCUUGGCUAAGAAAGUUACCUAUCCCAAAGUCACAGUUUCUAAGAUACAUCAUAACUAAUGACUAUUCAAUGACAGAGCAUAAAAAUUACUUCCUCCCCCCAAAUAAUAAGAAUUCUGAAGGACUAUAUGAGUUUCUGGUUGCCUAUUGUUUCAGUGAGACGACGUUGUAGCCCAUCUUUUUUCUCUGAACUAUCUUAAUUCCUUCCUUCUGUCUCCAGGAUGCCAUUCUAAAAGUACUCCUGAUAAAUUUCUUUCAUGCUGAUCUUCAUCUCAGAGUCUACUUCCCAAAGCACUCAUGUUCUAAUACACUAUUCUAAAAAGUCAGUUUAAAAUACUUAAAUAGUAUUGUUAUUAAAGCCUGGAAUCUAGGGCUUUUUUAUUUUAAUAUUCAUGAAAGGUUCAGUUAGGAUAAUAGAAGCGUUACAGCUCCAUUUGUGCAAAANUCAAACUUACUCAUAAAUGAGUCAUUCCACUCAAUCAAUUAGAAUAAGAAGAGCAAGAGACUACAACUUAAAGUUUCAUUGGUAAAUUUCAAAGCUCAAUGAGUCUGAUGGAUAUAUAUCUGGAGAAAAGUCUAAUGAUUUCAUUUUUAUCUAUGCUUAAUCUUACAUCUAACAAAAGAAGGAUAAGGGAUAAAAAAUAUAACUGCAUGUGUUAUCUAUUAUCUGCACUCUAGUUAUAAUUAUUGGAAAAUUUGUCCCACAUGUCACUGGAAAUUGAGAUUCUAUUUUUGACAAAAGGCAUUCAAAUGGUUAUUUUCACACCAAACCCAAAAAUCACAUUUACAGAACACAUUUUAUUCCCUUAAAGCACCAUUGAUACUAAAGGCUCAGCAAACAAUCAAACUCUAUUUAAUUAUUCACCAUAAUGCUUUUUAGUAGAAAAUCAAGUUUUCUAGUUUUUAUUAGAUUUAUAUGGCUGGUUGUUAUCUUGUUAGAGCUUAGGCUUUCUUUAGAGAGGAAAUCAACAUAACUGGUGCUAUGAAAGCAAAAAUAAAGAUCUUUUGUUUCUGGAAAAACAAUAACUAUAAAAUCCAAUCAGAGUUUGUGAACUUUUGGAGCAAACUGCUUUGGGGGCUUAUUGAGGGUACCUCUUCACAAUUACAUCAUUCUGCCUUACUGUUUGUUCAUCUGAUUUUUUCCAUUCAAAUUACAACAUCCUUUACUUCUUGAAUGGUAUAAGCUUUUCUCUCUUGGUCUGCAGCAGGGGGAAUCCAGAAUAAGGAAAGAGCUGUUGGUUGAUUAAAAUUGACAUAAUAACAAUAACUAUCCUGCUUUGUACAUGAUCUUGAGUAUGCUUCUUUUUAAUAUAUAAAAACCAUAUGAUGAUGACACUUCUCUUUAUUCUUUUCAUUAUUUAUUCUUUUCCCAGUAUUUGUAACUGUAUUCUUAAAUGCUCAGACUUUUCUUUUUUAUAGAAUCUUCUUGACAGAUGCCAAAUUUAUUGCUAUGCACAAAAAAAGAGAUCCAUUGUGAAGUAUUAUAAGGUUAAAAAAAUCAGCUGAAUUGUAAAGAUAGAAAGUCAUACUCAAACUUUUAGACCACUUAGUGUGUGUUUCUGGAACUUGAGAGUGCAUAAGGAUCAAAAUAUUUUAUUAAAGACAGAACAGAGCUCCACCCACAGAAUUUCUAAUGGCAGCAUGAAGGUAGCUUAAAUUCAUUGGUGGGACUGUAACAGGGACCACUUUGGCAUUUAUACACAAUGGAAUAUUACUCAGCAUUAAAAAAGAACAAAUCAUGGCAUUUGCAGGUAAAUGGUGUUGGAGAAGAUAAUGCUAAGUGAACUCAGCCCAUCCCGAAAAAACAAAUUUCGAAUGUUUUCUCUGAUAUAACGGGGGUGACUCAUAGCGGGGUAGGGAGGGAGAGCAUGGGAGGAUUAGAUUAAUUCUAGAUAGGGAAGAGGGGUAAGAGAGAAAGGGAUGGGGAAGGAGGUUAGCAAGGAUGGUGGAAUGUGAUGGUCAUCAUUACACAAAGUAAAUGUAUGAAGACUUGAACUGGGUGUCAACAUACCUUAUAUACAAAUAGAGAUAUGAAGAAUUGUGUUAUAUAUGUGUGUUAAGAAUUGUAAUGCAAAAAAGUACAUGUAUAAUGACAUAAAUUGAUGUGAACAUACUUUAUAUACAGUUAUGAAAAAUUGUGUUCUAUAUGUGUAAUAAGGAUUGUAAUGCAUUCCACUGUUGUUGUGUAUUUAAAAAAUAAUAAAAUCAAUAAAAAAUAAACAAAAAAAGAACCAUUGCAUUGGAGCAAUUUUCUUGUAGACAUGUUUUCUCUUGCCUUGUCAUUAUGCACUAUAAUUUUUUUUUAAAUUUGUUCC
rnacentral:lncRNA from 1 species